AAAUAAAAAUAAAAAUGAAAUCAAGAAAGGCUAUUUGCACAACAAGGGCAAAUUUUGUUCUCUAAUUUUAAAAUAGCCAUGCAUACCAAAAUAAAUGGGAUAUUGAGAAACUAUCAAUUGGAGAUGAAACUGACAUCUUGAACUUAUUUUAGGUGCAAAAAUCACAAAAAGGUGAAAGUUUCACUAAGAUAUGAUGUCUUAAAAAUGGGGUAUGUGUAGAUAUGUGUGUAAUUAGAGGC
rnacentral:misc_RNA from 1 species